CCAAUUUUAGACGUCGCUUGGUCGCCAUAUUUUCGGACGAAGGGAAGAUUUUGGACGAAGAAAACAGGCGGAUUUUAAGUCAUUUUACAAUUGGCUACUUUAUUAUAGGGAAACACAAUCAUGGGAAGGCCGAAACGAACAAUCAAGAAGACAAAAAAAAUGAAAGAAAGCAUGGAAGGAGGGCUAAAAGUUAAGAUGAAGUCCAACACAAAGAGCGCAAAGAAGC